rnacentral:rRNA from 1 species
AUUGAACGCUGGUGGCAGGCUUAACACAUGCAAGUCGAGCGGAGAGAGGUAGCUUGCUACUGAUCUUAGCGGCGGACGGGUGAGUAAUGCUUAGGAAUCUGCCUAUUAGUGGGGGACAACAUUUCGAAAGGAAUGCUAAUACCGCAUACGUCCUACGGGAGAAAGCAGGGGAUCUUCGGACCUUGCGCUAAUAGAUGAGCCUAAGUCGGAUUAGCUAGUUGGUGGGGUAAAGGCCUACCAAGGCGACGAUCUGUAGCGGAUCUGAGAGGAUGAUCCGCCACACUGGGACUAAGACACGGCCCAGACUCCUACGGGAGGCAGCAGUGGGGAAUAUUGGACAAUGGGCGGAAGCCUGAUCCAGCCAUGCCGCGUGUGUGAAGAAGGCCUUAUGGUUGUAAAGCACUUUAAGCGAGGAGGAGGCUACUUUAGUUAAUACCUAGAGAUAGUGGACGUUACUCGCAGAAUAAGCACCGGCUAACUCUGUGCCAGCCGCCGCAGUAA